rnacentral:tRNA from 1 species
GGGGUUGUGGCUCAGUAACAGAGCACUUGCCUAGCAUGUGAGAGGCCCUGGGUUCAAUUCUCAGCACCA